rnacentral:lncRNA from 1 species
AAACAAUUACAGAUAGUUAGUGUGGCAUACUUGUGACGCUAAAUAAAAAAAUUAAGGAUGCUAAAUCACUAAAGUGGCGUCAGUCUAAAAAUAAUAAACAAAAUGAAUAGUUAUUAGUCUCCAUUUUUAAUAAUGCAAAUCCAACGCUAGUAGCGUCAAUGUUGAGGCUGACGCUAAUUUAUUAAAGAUAAAAUGGUUUUUUCUUGUACUGUUUCUUUCUUAUCUUGGCCCUCGAGCUUCUCAUGUUAAAUUACUAGUUGUGAC